AUCAGUUACCAGAGGAGAACAUCAUUCAGAAGUCGGCGUUCUAUGACUACCACCGCUUCAUUGACGUCAAGAAGAUAGUGAACGAGGAAUUGUCAUCAGGUCUCUGGUUGAAAUAUAAAAAGUGAGGGUUGAAAUAGUGUGCAGGCAUAUGAAGCUAGAACUGAAGCCAAACUAAAAGCAGUUCACGAUGAAAGAUUGGCUGAUAAAGAUGAAUUUGAGAAAAGGUUGGCAAUUAUAAUGUCAUUUAUGUCACCCAAUGCAUCAAUGCAUCCC